CAGAUGCAUCCUUCCAAAGGCAGCUUAACUGUGAUUCAAGGCGAAAGCCUGGAAUAACCCUGCCAAGAAGCUUUAAGAUUCAUCACAUCGAACUUGAUACAUACAGUACAGCACCUUGAAAACAAAUUAUCUGCUAGUUCAGUAUUUUCUACUUAUAAUCACUCCCUCCCAGGGCAUGUAAUUAAUUUACUGAGCUUACCAAAAACAAAAA
rfam:Otolemur garnettii contig013098, whole genome shotgun sequence.